GGAGGGAAUCCAACGAAGCCGGGCAAGCCAGGCGCGCAAAUGAGUGAGCGCCGGCCGGCCUGCCAACCGCGCCAAUUGGAGUUGCGAGGCACUUUCCCACAGCCACCACAAUGCGGGCGUAUAGCCGGCAGCGACGGAGUGCGGCUGGGAUCACGCGCCGCCGUCGGCAGGAGAGGCGAACAUGGUCGUCACUUUACACGCCCCGCGUGCACAAAGCACGGCCGGGGGAGGCACUCCCUUCACCACGGUCUGCACUGCGACAUUGCCACCUUGGGGGAACGGAUGUUUCGGCUGCUUGUUGCGUCGAUCGCGCAUCGGUGACCGCGCUCGACGCGAGGCAAGCACCCGCCCUCCGCGCUCCGCUGAACGAGGAAAGGCGCAGCCCCGCAAUGAACUUGUGGCUGCUGGCGGAAGGAGCCUCCACUCGAGGGAGCUCUCGAUAAACGAUACUGGGCUACUUAUUUACCGCUGGCCAGACAUCUCGCAAGAAGUUGGGCAGGGUACAUCCACACUUGAGGCCACCGCCGUUACCUGCCGAGCUGUGGUUGCCGCCAUUCACACGGCUGGGCGGACUGAAGCGGGCAUCGCGCGCUUUCAGAUGCGCUUCUGCGGCCGUCUGGAACACCUCUUCCUUCCGAUAUUAGGAAGCCACGGGAGCUAUGCACUUGUAAAUAAUCUAAAUUAAAAACUCAUUUCCUUAGAACUGCUUUUUGUGUUUAGUUUGUUGUCCUUCCCCCCCGCACCUCCGAUUAACACGGUUGGCUACGUACGGUGUGAAAGAAGUUCAUCAUACGUAAGGAUCUUUCCCGACGUAUCAACCGCCACUGGAAAAUCGAACCGGCGACCUCCGGAUUGCAAGUUCAUCGUGAUCACCAUCCCUCAGCCAUAGCAUCAUCCACAGAGGCGCUCGAACAAAGUUAGCAAUGAUUUACGCAGGAGAGCGUGAC